AAUAUCCACUUCAAUUGUUGAGCAGGAGUGCGUUCAUAAACUAAAGUAUCUUGUGUUGUUGUGACGUCAGAGUAAGGCAAUUUUCACCUAGAGUGAAUGCAGAGCUUUCUGAAGUUUAUGAACGGUUGAAGUAGACUGCAACAUGACAGUUGACACUCUUGUAAUUGUUUGACAUAAAAAUAUAACCUGUCGUUUAAAGUAGCCCACCAAUUCAACAAACGAACCGUAACAAUGAAUGACAUAAUUACUAUCCCUGUUGUAUUAUCAUCGGAAAUGUUAUUUGGCAUUCCGGUUACAUAUUCUUCUGAUGAGGACAGCGAUGUAACUGAUGAAGAAAAUAUUGUUACGAUGAUGCUUAUAAAAAGUAGGAAAAUUAAGAAACCUCAACGUAUUGAGAAUUAUAUUGAAGCAACAAUUUCUGGUUAUACCAAGCAAGAAUUUCAGCAACAUUUUCGAGUAACCAUUGAGGCUUAUGAACAACUCUUACAAACAGUUGGCCCCUAUUUAAUGCGACAAGCUGCUACUGGACGAAGUACUGUUCAAGUCGAAAAACAAUUGUUGUCAGUUAUAUGGAUACUCGUAACACCCGAUUCAUACAGAUCAGUUGGAGAAAGAUUUGGACUAGCAAAGUCAUCUCUUUCACAGUGUUUCAAACGAGUAGUAAAAAUUCUAAAUGCCGUAGCACCAACUAUUAUAAAAUGGCCAGAAGGGAUGCAAUUACAAAAUGUUGAGAGAAGAUUUCAUGCAUUUGCCAGAAUGCCACACUGCAUUGGGGCCAUUGAUGGUACAUACGUGGAAAUCAAAGCUCCUAAAGAGGAUCCUCAAUCCUAUAUUACACGAAAAUGCAACUAUGCUUUUACGCUGCAAGCUAUCGCAGUACCUUCAUUGAAAUUUACAGAUGCAUUCAUUGGUUAUCCAGGAUCUGUAAGUGAUAGCAGAAUAUUUAAAAACAGUGAUUUUUAUAAUGCUGUCAAUGCCAACAUGGGUCAUUACUUUGCCGAAGAACAUUAUUUAAUUGGAGAUAAAGCAUACCCUAAUUUACCAUGGUGUAUUGCACCAUACAUAAAUAGGGGUAACCUGAAUGCAGCACAGGUAUACUUCAACACUGUACAUGCACAGACGCGCCAAGUAAUCGAACGAUCGUUUGCUCUUCUAUUUGGAAGAUUUAGGCGACUCAAGUUUUUAGACAUGAAUGAUACUAAAUUAAUUCCUGCAACUGUGAUAGCUGCAUGCGUAUUACACAAUGUCUGUCUAGACUUUCAUGAUCUCCAUAUUGAUGACUAUAUUAACAAUGGAAUUGAUUAUGUAGUAAAUAAUAAUGAUGGUGACGAUGGCAUUGGUGAAAACGUGGCAAUAGAAGGACGGAGACGACGUGAUGCUUUAUGUCGUCAAAUAUUUCUUAAUCGACAUUAAUUGUACGCUUUUCUUGUAAGUUUUUGUUAAUUGGUAUAUUUAAGUUACUUAUAGGGUUAUACCUACCUCUAUUGUAAAGUUAUCGUAAACUUCAUCUUUAACGUGUUCCAAAUUGCUGGUAUUUUUUUGUACUUCUUAAAAAUAUAUGUUAUUUAAGAAAAUCUUUUUUUUAGUGAAUAACAAAAUUAUAUUUAGUAUUUAGACAUAUUCAUAUAAAAUACAAAAACAAAACAAAAACUCUUAUUUUAAUAGUCAGUCACAAAUCGCAAGUAAUAAACGAAAAAAACAAACAUGAACUGAAAAGCAUUAUUUCUCUUCUUUUGGUGCAGUUAUUGCUUUAAUAAGAGCAUCCAUUUUAUCGGAAAAUACAUUCAACGAUUGUCUACGUAAGGCUAAUAGUUCUUCAUGACGUUGUGUGCGUCUACUUUCUCGGGAUUCCACAUUCUUAUUCAUUGUAUCUAUAAUUGUUUGCAUCGGUGUUUUUUUACCUUUAAUACUGCCGCUAAUUCUACUUUUAACUUUUAAUUGUUUGGGGGGCGUUGCCUCUUCAGGCAAAUCUUGCUCCUCCACAUCGGUGGGUACUAAAAAGCAGUAGUUAACAAUUUAAAUACAACUUUUACUGUAGUAACAAAAUAAACACGCAUUGUGUAGCCGUUAUUAUUUUAGCAGCAGUCAGCAGUAACUUACUGGUAUCCCCUCGCGAUGAGGAAGCGAUCGCAAUUGGUGAUAUAGAAUGCUUUUUUCCCAAAAAAUCAUCCAUGCUCUCGAAAUAUUCAAAAUCCAUUCGAUCUUCCCCACUUCCUCUAUUGCCCAUAUUAUCUUUUUUUGUAGCAUAUCUACUUUUUAAAUAGCGCCACUUGUCGUUGCAUUGUACCGAAGUGUACAUAAAACCCAUUUCUUUCAUUUUCGAUGCAAGUUUUUUCCAAACCACUUCGUUUUUCUGGGUUGUUGAACGAAAUUCCGGGUCCAACUCUUUCCGAAAUGCAAUUAGGUUGAUAAUUGCAUUAUGGCACCAUUUGAUUCUUUUAUCAGCCGUUCUUUUAUCUGAAUUUGAAGUCGAAGCAGACCCAGCAUCAUUAUUUUCCACAAUGACAAGGCAGCCAUCUGCGACAAUAAGUACACAAUUAGGUAGUACACUACCAACAAGACAUUAAGCUGACUUACCUGCCUGCUGCUGAAACACCAAAUAGCCUUCAUCGGUUUUCAAAGGUUCACCGUUUUCAGUGAACACCUGUUUUAACUUUUCCUCACAGCUACUCAUAGUUUUAAUUUUAUAAUCUAAUGUUUGGAAUAGUUUGAACACUUUUAUAUUAGAAUAAGUGACCGCAAAAUAACAGUCAUAGCCCAUGAAAAAAGUUCUUGUAUGCAAAUUCAAUUCAGAGCAGGUAGUGCAAAAACCGCAAAAACAUCAACAAGGUGUCAAAUGGUUGACAGCGUCAAACCAAAUACGAAUGCGCAUGUCCGGUGAAAAACGCCGGACUUUUGAGCACGGCGAUUCACGAACACUCCGGGUAUAUCACGCGACAAUUUAUGAACAGUCGCACAAUUUGUGCACGUUCAUUUGGACGGCUUUAUGAACGACUAUAGACCUAGAGUAGACUCAGAGUAUCUUUAUGAACGCACUCCAGUGUAGUUGAGUUUCGACAGGUCGGUUUUGCUGAUGGUAAAUUUCAUAAAGAAUGGUGACCGCCGUUUUUAGAAAACUCAGCCUGUCGAAGCUCAAUAAAACUGACGGUAUACGAGGAGCGGGGAGAAGUCGGAUUAAGGUUUUUACUAGAGUAACUUCGGGGUGUCCGAGGAUUUUCGGAGUGUGAGUGUGACCUGUGCCCUACCCUUUAUCUGGAUUACGGGAAGAGCAUAUGACCGCUUAACGUGCAUCUUAAAGUGGACGGAUAACUUACAAAUCAGCUUUAGAUACCUAGUGUUAACCUGUAUGUUCAUUUGAGAUGAUGGAUAUUGAUUUAGAAUUCGAUUGCUCGGAUGGAAUCAGUGCAUUUCUUCGUUCAAAAUUGGAUGAAGUUAAAUCAGUGAAUGCUCACUUAAAGUCAUCUUUACAACACCGUCAAGAAAUAGCAUCAAAUUUGCGACGAGAAAUUACAAAGAAGUACAGCCAAAAUUUUGUAAAAUUUGUGAAAGUUUGGAAGAAAUCGAUAAACGGGAAAUACGUGUUGGGGUUCGAAGUGAAGAACGAAAGCGAAUCACAAAUAAACAACAUAAAUAUCACUCUCGCGUGGUCCUCAUCUUCAGCCCUCAACUACAACUUGCAUUUACUCUCAGAUUUUUCAAGAGGAGGACUAAAAUUCACUCCGUACAUAAUGCACUCAGGAUUAGUCGCCAUCAUUUUGGAUGCUCCCUUUUUUACCGACGCUCAUUCGUACACCAUUUCUGGUUUUAUGACUUUCAAACAAAACAGCGAAAAACACAGAGUGGAGCUUCCUACAAAUGUGGAAUUGACUGCUGAAGAUAUUACAAAUAAUUCCGUUAUCGUCCAUUUAGCCAAAGUGAUGGAAGGUAGCAAAAAUGAUCUUUUUGCCUUAGCCUUAUCGGGGGUAAAGCACGAGUUUGUUAUGAUUUUUGACACAAAUCAGUUGCAAAAUAUUCUUGAAACGGAUUGUUUACUUAAAAAAGUGUGUGUCACUUGCGAAAACUGCUUUUAUGUGGCUCAUGAAAUUUGUCCUGAACUUGACGGAGUCUUAUUAGAAGUGGAAAUUGAUUCAGGAGGGACUUUCAAUUUUAAUACUUACUGCAAAAGUUUGGAGACCACCAUAGCCCUGCUUCAUUAUCUCUACAGACACAUCAUAGAUGUGGUUAUAGUUCCGAAGCCACUUUAUCAACCCGAUUUGAGUCUCAGUGACUUAACCCAGUUAUUGAAGAAGUCACUAAAUGAGGAGUUGAACAUGUUGAGACAAAAUGCAGGAGGUGAUUUGAAGGAGUUGAAAGAAAAACUGUGCGACUUGGAGCACCAGAGCGAUGUGUUAGUCGCCCGAAUAAAUCAAAAACAGAAUUGUUAACAUGGAUAUAUUCCUCAAAUUUUUUUAACAAAAGUAUAAAUAUGAAACAAAGUG